AUACGGAGGAUGCAAGCGUUAUCCGGAUUUAUUGGGUUUAAAGGGUGCGCAGGCGGAAAAUUAAGUCAGUGGUGAAAUCCUACAGCUUAACUGUAGAACUGCCAUUGAUACUGAUUUUCUUGAGUGCAGUUGAGGUAGGCGGAAUGUGUAAUGUAGCGGUGAAAUGCUUAGAUAUUACACAGAACACCGAUUGCGUAGGCAGCUUACUAAACUGUUACUGACGCUCAGGCACGAAAGCGUGGGGAGCGAACAGGAUUAGAUACCCGAGUAGUCC
rnacentral:rRNA from 1 species